UAGUGGCGAACGGGUGAGUAACACGUGGGCAAUCUGCCCUUCACUCUGGGACAAGCCCUGGAAACGGGGUCUAAUACCGGAUAACACUCCUGCCUGCAUGGGUGGGGGUUAAAAGCUCCGGCGGUGAAGGAUGAGCCCGCGGCCUAUCAGCUUGUUGGUGGGGUAAUGGCCCACCAAGGCGACGACGGGUAGCCGGCCUGAGAGGGCGACCGGCCACACUGGGACUGAGACACGGCCCAGACUCCUACGGGAGGCAGCAGUGGGGAAUAUUGCACAAUGGGCGAAAGCCUGAUGCAGCGACGCCGCGUGAGGGAUGACGGCCUUCGGGUUGUAAACCUCUUUCAGCAGGGAAGAAGCGAAAGUGACGGUACCUGCAGAAGAAGCGCCGGCUAACUACGUGCCAGCAGCCGCGGUAAUACGUAGGGCGCAAGCGUUGUCCGGAAUUAUUGGGCGUAAAGAGCUCGUAGGCGGCUUGUCACGUCGGAUGUGAAAAGCCCGAGGCUUAACCUCGGGUCUGCAUUCGAUACGGGCUAGCUAGAGUGUGGNAGGGGAGAUCGGANUUCCU
rnacentral:rRNA from 1 species